rnacentral:rRNA from 1 species
AUUGAACGCUGGCGGCAGGCUUAACCCAUGCCAGUCGAGCGAGCGGAGGACGGGUCAGUAAUGUCUGGGAAACUGAAUGAUGUAGGGGGAUAACUACUGGAAACGGUAGCUAAUACCGCAUACAAUCAGAUGUGCCCAGAUGGGAUUAGCUAGUAGGUGGGGUAAUGGCUCACCUAGGCGACCAACCCUAGCUGGGCUGAGAGGAUGACCAGCCACACUGGAACGGAGACACGUUCCAUACUCCUAAGGGAGGCAGCAGUGGGGAAUAUUGCACAAUGGGCGCAAGCCUGAUGCAGCCAUGCCGCGUGUGUGAAGAAGGCCUUCGGGUUGUAAAGCACUUUCAGCGAGGAGGCGUUACUCGCAGAAGAAGCACCGGCUAACUCCGUGCCAGCAGCCGCGGUAAUUC